rnacentral:rRNA from 1 species
CACCGCGGUUAAACGGGUGGCUCAAGUUGAUAGACCACGGCGUAAAGAGUGGUUAUGGAGAAUAAGCCAAACUAAGGCCGAAGGGCCCCCGGGUAGUUGCAAGCUUCCGGUCGUCCGAAGUUCAAUCACGAAAGUAGCCUUAAUACAUUCUACCAGACUCCACGACAGCUGGGGAA